UUAUGGGACAGGGACAACUUAUCCUCGGUAGUGAAAGUUGUAAACCUUGGAGAAAAAACAGGGAGAACAAUUGGAAAAAGUACAAACAUUUUUAUGUUUCUGUGAGAUAUAAAACAGCAUGUCAAGGCUUGUAAACAAACCAAAAGUAGAGAAAUAAGAUAAAUUCAUUGUCAUAGGACAGAACUGAAAACUAAAGAAAGUUCCUAAAUGUUGCCUCCUCCAUAUGAACGUUCCCCCUGUCCUCGUUUCUCCCCUGCACUCAUCUUCUACAAAGCCG
rnacentral:misc_RNA from 1 species